GAGAUGAGAUCUCUCACAGAGCAAUCUGGUAAGACUCCUUGAAGACGACAAGGUAGAUAGGUUGGGAGUGGAAGCGUGGCAACAUGUGAAGCGGACCAAUACUAAUAAGUCGAGGGCUUAAUUAC
rnacentral:rRNA from 1 species